AUGAACGCUGGCGGCGUGCCUAAUACAUGCAAGUCGAGCGAACGGACGAGAAGCUUGCUUCUCUGAUGUUAGCGGCGGACGGGUGAGUAACACGUGGAUAACCUACCUAUAAGACUGGGAUAACUUCGGGAAACCGGAGCUAAUACCGGAUAAUAUUUUGAACCGCAUGGUUCAAAAGUGAAAGACGGUCUUGCUGUCACUUAUAGAUGGAUCCGCGCUGCAUUAGCUAGUUGGUAAGGUAACGGCUUACCAAGGCAACGAUGCAUAGCCGACCUGAGAGGGGGGAGGACAACACGGAAAAGAAGCCAGGGCAAAGACACAGAGGGGGGGAAGAAGGAGGAAUUCUGCAGAAGGGGGCAAAGGCGAGAAGGAGCAACGCGGGGUGGGUAAAGAGGGUCUGGGGAACGAAAAACUUUGUUAUGAGGGAAAAAAAUAUGUGAAAGAAACGGUGAAAAUUUGGGGGAAACCAAAGAAAAAAACCAGGAAAAACAACGUA
rnacentral:rRNA from 1 species